rnacentral:misc_RNA from 1 species
GUUUUGAGUCAUCCUGACACUUCAAUAAUGAAGGAAAAAAAAUAAUAAGAGAAAACAACCUGAUUUUGGAAAUGAAAACCUGAUAUUGUCAGCAGUAGUUAGUUUGUCUCAAAACAAAAAAUAAAACAAAAGGUAGUUAGUUUCUGUCGUGACCCUGAAAAACAUUAAACAAAUCAAUACUGCAUACCUAAGAUUAGUCCACUUCGUGGCCAAAACACUAGUUAUCUCCAUAUGACCUGCAGAUAACAGAUUCAGAUUGGAAAGGGUAAUGAAAUUUUACAAGCACAGAUAUGAAUGAAAAAAAUAUAAUGGUAAGCUGGACCAUGAGCUACCCAAAUCAUGCAAACUUCUCAGUAUCCGCACAGUGGGUUCGACUGGGAAACAUCCAAUUGGUAGUCUAGUCCCAACCUCUACAUCACCAUAGACAUUAUCUAGCGUUUGCAGCUUCCCCUACCACCUUAUCACCACCUAGAAAACAUCCAUUCUUGCAGAAUUUAAUUGCCUAAACUAUUCAAUACCGGGAAAUAGAACCCUCAUGUCAAUAUCAAGCAUCAUGUUCAAAGGGAAGAGGCUUUUU